rnacentral:rRNA from 1 species
GGAGGUUUGCUUAGAAGCAGCAAUCCUUUAAAGAGUGCGUAAUAGCUCACUGAUCGAGUAAGCCUGCGCCGAAAAUGAACGGGACUUAAGUAAUUUGCCGAAACUGUGCGAUAUUUAUAUCGGUAGGGGAGCGUUCUGUUGUAGGUUGAAGUAUUAACGAAAGUGGAUAUGGACGAAGCAGAAGUGAGAAUGUCGGCUUGAGUAACGAAAAUAUAGGUGAGAAUCCUAUACCCCGAAAACCCAAGGUUUCCUCCGGAAGGCUCGUCCGCGGAGGGUAAGUCAGGACCUAAGGCGAGGCUGAAAAGCGUAGUCGAUGGACAACGGGUUAAUAUUCCCGUACCAUUUUUUAUUGACAACGAGGGACGGAGAAGGCUAGGCUGGCCGGAUGUUGGUUACCGGUUUAAACGUUCAAGAUGUUGAGAAGUGGUGAAAACACUUUGAGUUGAGGCGUGAAUAGGAGAUACUACGGUAUCGAAGCAGCUGAUGUCAGACUUCCAAGAAAAGCUCGCACUGUCAUAAAUAAAAAAUGCCUGUACCAUAACCGACACAGGUGGGUAGGUAGAGUAUACUAAGGGGCGCGAGAUAACUCUCUCUAAGGAACUCGGCAAAAUAACUCCGUAACUUCGGGAGAAGGAGUACCCUUUUGGGUUGCAAUAACAAGAUCCAAGCAACUGUUUAUCAAAAACACAGGUCUCCGCUAAGUCGUAAGACGAUGUAUGGGGGCUGACGCCUGCCCAGUGCCAGAAGGUUAAAGAAGUUGGUUAGCAUUAGCGAAGCUGAUAACUGAAGCCCUGGUGAACGGCGGCCGUAACUAUAACGGUCCUAAGGUAGCGAAAUUCCUUGUCGGGUAAGUUCCGACCCGCACGAAAGGCGUAAUGAUUUGGAUACUGUCUCGGAGAGAGGCUCGGUGAAAUAGACUUGUCUGUGAAGAUGCGGACUACCUGCACCAGGACAGAAAGACCCUAUGAAGCUUUACUGUAGCUUGAAAUUGAAAUUGGACUUUACAUGCGCAGAAUAGGUGGGAGGCUUUGAUAAUAAUCUUGCGGGAUUAUUUGAGCUAUCAGUGAGAUACCACUCUUGUAAUGUUAGAUUUCUAACUUUGUACCAUUAUCUGGUCAAAGAACAGUUUCAGGUGGGCAGUUUGACUGGGGCGGUCGCCUCCUAAAUGGUAACGGAGGCGUACAAAGGUUUCCUCAGGUCGGUCAGAAAUCGAUCGUAGAGUGUAAAGGCAUAAGGAAGCUUGACUGUGAGACCUACAAGUCAAACAGGGACGAAAGUCGGUCUUAGUGAUCUGACGGUACUGAGUGGAAAGGCCGUCACUCAACGGAUAAAAGUUACUCUAGGGAUAACAGGCUGAUCUCCCCCAAGAGUUCACAUCGACGGGGAGGUUUGGCACCUCGAUGUCGGCUCAUCGCAUCCUGGGGCGGUAGUACGUCCCAAGGGUUGGGCUGUUCGCCCAUGAAAGCGGUACGCGAGCUGGGUUCAGAACGUCGUGAGACAGUUCGGUCCAUAUCCGGUGUAGGCGUUAGAAUAUUGAGAGGAGCCUUCUUUAGUACGAGAGGACCGAGAAGGACAUACCUAUGGUGUACCAGUUAUCGUGCCAACGGUAAACGCUGGGUAGCUAUGUAUGGAGUGGAUAACCGCUGAAAGCAUCUAAGUGGGAAGCCCACCUCAAGAUGAGUAUUCU